UACGUAGGGCGCAAGCGUUGUCCGGAAUCAUUGGGCGUAAAGAGCUCGUAGGUGGUCUGUUACGUCUGCUGUGAAAUCCUAGGGCUUAACCCUGGGCCUGCAGUGGAUACGGGCAGACUAGAGGUAGGUAGGGGGAGAAUGGAAUUCCCGGUGUAGCGGUGAAAUGCGCAGAUAUCGGGAGGAACACCGGUGGCGAAGGCGGUUCUCUGGGCCUUACCUGACUACUGAGGAGCGAAAGCGUGGGGAGCGAACAGG
rnacentral:rRNA from 1 species